ensembl:snoRNA
GACCUCCCAGGAUUGCAUCUGGAGAGUGGCUAAUAUUCUUCCAGUUUAGGAGAUGGGAGGGAAUACAAGCCUGGCGGAGGUACCCAUUCCAUUCCCGCUUGCUCAGUAGCUGGUGAUUGGAAGACACUCUGCAACAACA